rnacentral:tRNA from 1 species
GGGCCGUUAGCUCAGUUGGUAGAGCAGCUGACUCUUAAUCAGUAGGUCGUAGGUUCGACCCCUACACGGCCCACCA